GACGAACGCUGGCGGCGUGCCUAAUACAUGCAAGUAGGACGCAGUUGCGAACGGGUGAGUAACGCGUAGGUAACUGCCUAUUAGAGGGGGAUAACUAUUGGAAACGAUAGCUAAUACCGCAUACUAGUAGAUGGACCUGCGUUGUAUUAGCUAGUAUGUAGGGUAAUGGCCUACCUAGGCCAAGAUACAUAGCCGACCCUGGAGGGGGAUCGGCCAAACGGGGACUUAGACACGGCCCAGACUCCUACGGGAGGCAACAGUAGGGAAGCUGCGGGAAAGGGGGGAAACCUGAACGGGCAACGCCGGGUGAAGGAAGAAGGUUUUCGGAUCGUAAAGCUCUGUUGUUAAGGAAACGGUACUUAACCAGAAAGGGACGGCUAACUACGUGCCAGCAGCCGCGGUAAUUC
rnacentral:rRNA from 1 species